rnacentral:rRNA from 1 species
AGUGAACGCUGGCGGUAGGCCUAACACAUGGAAGUCGAACGGCAGCACAGUAAGAGCUUGCUCUUACGGGUGGCGAGUGGCGGACGGGUGAGGAAUACAUCGGAAUCUACUUUUUCGUGGGGGAUAACGUAGGGAAACUUACGCUAAUACCGCAUACGACCUACGGGUGAAAGCAGGGGAUCUUCGGACCUUGCGCGAUUGAAUGAGCCGAUGUCGGAUUAGCUAGUUGGCGGGGUAAAGGCCCACCAAGGCGACGAUCCGUAGCUGGUCUGGGAGGAUGAUCAGCCACACUGGAACUGAGACACGGUCCAGACUCCUACGGGAGGCAGCAGUGGGGAAUAUUGGACAAUGGGCGCAAGCCUGAUCCAGCCAUACCGCGUGGGUGAAGAAGGCCUUCGGGUUGUAAAGCCCUUUUGUUGGGAAAGAAAAGCAGCAGGUUAAUACCCCGCUGUUCUGACGGUACCCAAAGAAUAAGCACCGGCUAACUUCGUG